UACGUAGGGUGCGAGGCGUUGUCCGGAAUUACUGGGCGUAAAGAGCUCGUAGGUGGUUUGUCGCGUUGUCCGUGAAAACUCACAACUCAAUUGUGGGCGUGCGGGCGAUACGGGGCAGACUGGAGUACUGCAGGGGAGACUGGAAUUCCUGGUGUAGCGGUGGAAUGCGCAGAUAUCAGGAGGAACACCGGUGGCGAAGGCGGGUCUCUGGGCAGUAACUGACGUGGAGGCACGAAAGCUAGGGGAGCAAACAGG
rnacentral:rRNA from 1 species